rnacentral:lncRNA from 1 species
CAGAGCCAUCCCAGUACCUCCCAGUGGCAUCCCAGUAUAGCCCAGUACUUCCCAGUAUCUCUCAGAGCCAUCCCAGUAUCACCCAGUGCCAUCCCAGUGCCUCCCAGUAUCUCCCAGAGCCAUCCCAGUAUCGCCCAGUGGCGUCCCACUGCCUCCCAGUGCCUCCCAGUAUGUCUCAGACCCGUCCCAGUUCCUCCCAGUUCCUUCCAGUAUCGCCCAGUGCCAUCCCAGUACCUCCCAGUUACCUCCCAGUACCUCCAGUUCCAGCCCAACACAGUCCAAGUGCAAUCCCAGUUUGCUCCCAGUAUCACCCCAGUUCAACCCCAGUUUGCCCCCAGUUAGUUUCCAGCUCCAUCCCAGUUUCCUCCGAGCUCAAUCCCAGUUUGUUCCCAGUAUAACCCCACCGCAAUCCCAGUUUGCUCCCAGCGCCCGCCCCAUCCGGCGGCAACAGCCAAUGGGAUCGCAGCCCCGCAGAGCGCAACCAAUGGGAGCGCAGGGUUACCCGGGGGCGGGACCUGAAGGCGUUCCCAUGACAACACUCUCUGCAACAGCCAAUGGGACCGCAGCCCGGCAGAGCGCAACCAAUGGGAGCGCAGCGCUACCCGGGGGGCGGGACCCGAAGGCAACACUCCCCGCCCCCCCGCCAAUAUCGACACGUUUCGCCGUUUUUCACCGGGAAAUAAUUUCUUUUUUUUUUUUU